UGCAAGUCGAACGCUUCUUUUUCCACCGGAGCUUGCUCCACCGGAAAAAGAGGAGUGGCGAACGGGUGAGUAACACGUGGGUAACCUGCCCAUCAGAAGGGGAUAACACUUGGAAACAGGUGCUAAUACCGUAUAACAAUCAAAACCGCAUGGUUUUGAUUUGAAAGGCGCUUUCGGGUGUCGCUGAUGGAUGGACCCGCGGUGCAUUAGCUAGUUGGUGAGGUAACGGCUCACCAAGGCCACGAUGCAUAGCCGACCUGAGAGGGUGAUCGGCCACAUUGGGACUGAGACACGGCCCAAACUCCUACGGGAGGCAGCAGUAGGGAAUCUUCGGCAAUGGACGAAAGUCUGACCGAGCAACGCCGCGUGAGUGAAGAAGGUUUUCGGAUCGUAAAACCUCUGUUGUUAGAGAAGAACCAAGGAUGAGAGUAACCUGUUCCUCCCUUGAACGGUAUCUAACCCGAAAGCCCCGGCUAACCUACGUGCCCGCAGCCGCGGUAUUACGUAGGUGGCAAGCUUGGUCCGGAUUU
rnacentral:rRNA from 1 species